UAGGGAAUCUUCCACAAUGGACGCAAGUCUGAUGGAGCAACGCCGCGUGAGUGAAGAAGGUCUUCGGAUCGUAAAGCUCUGUUGUUAAAGAAGAACACGUAUGAGAGUAACUGUUCAUACGUUGACGGUAUUUAACCAGAAAGUCACGGCUAACUACGUGCCAG
rnacentral:rRNA from 1 species